rnacentral:rRNA from 1 species
GAUUAACGCUGGCGGCGUGCAUAACACAUGCAAGUCGAACGAUGAAACUUAAAUGAUUUCUUCGGAAUGAACUUAAGUGGAUUAGUGGCGGACGGGUGAGUAACGCGUGAGUAACCUGCCUUACACAAGGGGAUAGCCGUUGGAAACGACGAAUAAUACCCUAUGAAACUAUCACUUCGCAUGAAGCGAUAGUCAAAGUGUUAGCGGUGUAAGAUGGACUUGCGUCUGAUUAGCUAGUUGGUGAGAAAAAAGCCCACCAAGGCAACGAUCAGUAGCCGGCGUGAGGGAGUGUACGGCCACAUUGGGACUGAGACACGGCCCAGACUCCUACGGGAGGCAGCAGUGGGGAAUUUUGCACAAUGGGGGAAACCCUGAUGCAGCGACGCCGCGUGAUUUAGAAGGCCUUCGGGUUGUAAAAAUCUUUUGUAUAGGAAGAAAAUGACAGUACUAUACGAAUAAGGUCCGGCUAAUUACGUG